rnacentral:rRNA from 1 species
GACGAACGCUGGCGGCGUGCUUAACACAUGCAAGUCGAACGGAAAGGCCCUGCUCUUGUGGGGUGCUCGAGUGGCGAACGGGUGAGUAACACGCGAGUAACCUGCCCUUGACUUUGGGAUAACUCCAGGAAACUCGGGCUAAUACCGGAUAGGAGCUCCUGCUGCACGGUGGGGGUUGGAAAGUUUCGGCGGUUGGGGAUGGACUCGCGGCUUAUCAGCUUGUUGGUGGGGUAGUGGCUUACCAAGGCUUUGACGGGUAGCCGGCCUGAGAGGGUGACCGGCCACAAUGGGACUGAGAUACGACCCAGACUCCUACGGGAGGCAGCGGGGGGAAAUAUUGCGCAAUAGGCGGAAGCCUGAUACAACAACGCCGCGUGCGGAAUGACGGCCUUCGGGUUAUAAACCGCUUUCGCCUGUAACGAAGCGUGAGUGACGGUAAUGAGUAAAGAAGCACCGGCUAACUACGUG